UGUUGUUUUUUCUCAAUUAGGUGAAAAUGAAAUCCUCGAGAAGUUAUACAACAUAGCAAGCAAGAACAAGAUAUGGAGGUCCUAUAUAGGCAUGGGUUAUUACAACUGCUCAGUGCCACAGCCCAUUGCACGGAACCUUUUGGAGAAUGCAGGAUGGGUUACCCAGUAUACUCCUUACCAACCUGAGGUCUCCCAGGGCAGACUGGAGAGCCUGCUAAAUUACCAGACCAUGGUGUGUGAUAUCACAGGAAUGGAUGUGGCUAAUGCAUCUUUGCUGGAUGAGGGGACAGCUGCUGCAGAAGCUAUGCAAUUAUGUCACAGGUAC